rnacentral:rRNA from 1 species
UACCUGGUUGAUCCUGCCAGUAGUCAUAUGCUUGUCUCAAAGACUAAGCCAUGCACGUCUAAGUACAAACUAAAUGAUGGUGAAACUGCAAAUGGCUCAUUACAACGGUUAUGAUGUACCCGGGGGUUCCGAUGGAUAUUUCCAGUAACACUAGAACUAAUACAUGCUCCUGCGUUUAUUAGUUUCGCACAGUCCGUCGCUGAGUCAUGGUAAACAGUUGAUCGACUCGACGUCCCGGAACAGUUUCCGCCCCAUCAGCUUCGAUGGUUGGGUAUUGGCCUACCAUUGCAACAACGGGUAACGAGGAAUUAGGGUUUGAUUUCGGAGAGGGAGCCUGAGAAACGGCUACCACAUCUACGGAUGGCAGCAGGCGCGCAAAUUACCCAAUGCAGACUCUGUGAGGUAGUGACGAGAAAUAAUAAAGCGGGACUUCUGUUUCGCUAUUAUAAUGAGGAAUAACCAAAGGUCAUUCCGAUUAGCAACUGAUGGGAAAGUCUGGUGCCAGCAGCCGCGGUAAUACCAGCGUCAGUAGCAUAUAUUAAAAUUGUUGCAGUUAAAACGUCCGUAGUCUGUACGUCGUCCCAAACUCACUGCAGUCUUCCGUUUUCUUCAUUGAAUGCGGUAGUUUCUGCAGUCACUCCCUUGAUCAAAUUAGGUUGUUCAAGGUAGACCAAGUCUUCAUAUUUUCACAUGGAAUUGGGUGAGGGAACUUAAGAGUUUAAGUUUCUCGUCUUAGGAUCAUCCGGGGUCAUUCGUACUCGUCCGCGAAGAGGUGAAAUUCUUGGACCGGACGAAGACGACCAGCAGCGAAAGCAUCUGUCAGGGAUGUUUCUGCGACAAAGGACGAAGGUCAGAGUAUCGAAGACGAUUAGAUACCGUCGUAGUCCUGACUGUAAACUAUGCCAACUUGGGUCUUGCUGGGCGAUGCUUUGUGAGACCCACACAGAAAUGAAAGUGUAUGGGUUCUGGGGGUAGUAUGGACACAAGUCUGAAACUUGAAGGAAUUGACGGAAGAGCACCAUAAGACGUGGGGCUUGCGGCUUAAUUUGACUCAACGCGGGAAAACUUACCAGGUCAAGACAUGGGCGUGAUUGACAGGCUAAUGACUUUUCUCGAUUCCAUGGAUGGUGGUGCAUGGUCGCACUUAGUUGGUGCAGUGAUUUGUCAGGUUUAUUCCGGUAACGAACGAGACCUCGGCCUUGUAAAUAGCUAUGCUGCUUACAGGGACAUUGGUGGCUACACCAAGGAAGCUCGAGGCAAUUGCAGAUCUGGAAUGCCCUUAGAUGUCCUGGGUCGCACGCGUGCUACAAUGACGCCACGAACGAGUUUGCGUGAUGAAAGUCACGCAUAAUCAGCAGUCGGCGUCUUAAGGGAUAGUCUCUUGUAACUGUGGGACUCCAACUAGGAAUGUCUCGUAAGCACAAGUCAACAUCUUGUGUUGAUUACGUCCCUGCUCUUUGUACACACCGCCCGUCGCUCCUACCGAUCGAGUGUUUAGGUGAAAUUGAUAGACGUAAGGAAGUCAAUUAAAUCUGGACACUUAGAGGAAGGAGAAGUCGUAACAAGGUUUCCGUAGGUGAACCUGCAGAAGGAUC